UACGGAGGAUCCGAGCGUUAUCCGGAAUUAUUGGGUUUAAAGGGUGCGUAGGCGGCCAUUUAAGUCAGCGGUGAAAUUUUGCAGCUUAACUGUAACAGUGCCGUUGAUACUGUUUGGCUAGGAUUUGGUUGUAGUGUGCGGAAUGUGUGGUGUAGCGGUGAAAUGCUUAGAUAUCACACAGAACACCGAUUGCGAAGGCAGCUCACAAAGCCAAGAUUGACGCUGAGGCACGAAAGUGUGGGGAUCAAACAGGAUUAGA
rnacentral:rRNA from 1 species